rnacentral:rRNA from 1 species
CGUGUAGGCGGCUCAUCAAGUCUGGUGUGAAAUCGCAGGCUCAACCUUGCAUAUGCGCUGGAAACUGGUGGGCUUGAGUUCUUGAGGGGAAGCUGGAAUUCCAGGUGUAGGGGUGAAAUCUGUAGAUAUCUGGAAGAACACCGGUGGCGAAGGCGAGCUUCUAUCAGAGGACUGACGCUGAGGCGCGAAAGCGUGGGGAGCAAACAGGAUUAGAUACCCUGGUAGUCCACGCUGUAAACGAUGUGCACUAGGCGUGGGCACGUACGUGCUCUGUGCCGUAGUUAACGUGAUAAGUGCACCGCCGUGGGGAGUAUGCUCGCAAGGGUGAA